UGCGCCUUGCCAGCCCGCUCAGAAACUCAAAGGAAUUGACGGGGCCCGCACAAGCAGCGGAGCAUGUGGUUUAAUUCGAAGCAACGCGAAGAACCUUACCAAGACUUGACAUCCCCUGACAGCUGUUGAAAGGCAGUGUCUCUUCGGAGCAGGGAGACAGGUGGUGCAUGGUUGUCGUCAGCUCGUGUCGUGAGAUGUUGGGUUUAAGUCCCGCAACGAGCGCAACCCUUAUCCUUAGUUACCAGCACGUAAAGGUGGGGACUCUAGGGAGACCGCCGGGGACGACUCGGAGGAAGGUGGGGACGACGUCAAAUCAUCAUGCCCCUUAUGUCUUGGGCUACACACGUGCUACAAUGGCCGCAACAGAGGGAAGCGAGAGCGCAAGCUGGAGCAAAACCCUAAAAAGCGGUCCCAGUUCGGAUUGUGGGCUGCAACCCGCCCACAUGAAGUCGGAGUUGCUAGUAAUCGCGAAUCAGCAUGUCGCGGUGAAUGCGUUCCCGGGCCUU
rnacentral:rRNA from 1 species